rnacentral:lncRNA from 1 species
GUUGAUAUAUGGGUAUGCUUUUAGAAUUUUUGAUCAAUUGGUUAUAAUUUUUAAAUAAAUUUUCCAAAACUUGCUAUUUUUAGAAAGUUUUCAUUUUGUAGGAAAAUAUUGUAGAUUUGGGAUUGAGAUUUAGAAAUUAGGAUAAUAAGAGUUUUUGUUGAUAUAUGGGCAUGCUUUUAGAAGUUUUGAUCAAUAGGUUAUAUUUUUAAAAUAAACUUUUAAAAACUGAAAUAUUUGGAAAGUUAUCAUUUUGUAGAUAAAUAUUGUAGAUUUGAGAUUGUGAUUUAAAAAUUAGGAUAACAAGAGUUUUAGUAGAUAAAUGGGUAUGCUUUUACAAUUUUUGAUCAAUAUUGUGAUUUAGAAAUUAAGAUAUGAAGAGUUUUUGUUGAUAGACGGGUAUGAUUUUAAAAUUUUCUAUCAAUUGGUUAUAAUUUUUAAAUAAGUUUUCCAAAACCUGCUAUUUUUAGAAAAUUUUCAUUUAAUAGGAAAAUAUUGUCGAUUUGGGAUUGAGAUUUAGAAAUUAGGAUAACAAGAGUUUUCGUUGAUAGAUGGGCAUGCUUUUAGAAGUUUUGAUCAAUAGGUUAUAUUUUUAAAAUAAAAUUUUAAAAACUGCUAUAUUUGGAAAGUUAUCAUUUUUUAGAUAAAUAUUGUAGAUUUAAGAUUGUGAUUUAGAAAUUAGUAUAACAAGAGUUUUUGUAGAUAAAUAGGUAUGAUUUUAGAAAUUUUUAUCAAUAUAUUAUAUAUUGUAGAUAUAUUAUCUAAAACCAUAGAUUGAGAUUCUAAUUUAAAACACCUUUUCAUAUGUUUCUUUUAGUUUUUGAUCAAGGUGCCUUUUCAGAUGCUUUUAAUUUUGGAAAAAUUUGGAAAAAUACCUUCAUAUGAGUUUAUAUUUUGAAAAUUACACUGCUUAUUAUUGUUUUUGAAAACUACACUUAUUUAUAGAUAAAAUGACCAAAAUACCCUAUUUAAAUGUUUAUAUGUGUUCUAAUAUUUAAUUUUAAAAUGUUUAACAAGUAAAUCCAACGACAAUCAGGUUUUAUAUUUUUCUUUUCUUAAUAAUAAUCUUAAUAUCUAUAUAAAAUCUUAUUUAAAAUUUUAUUCAUGCGACAAUAUAUUAUUAUCUUGUUGGAAAUCUCUGUCGUCACCGUCAUAAUGGAGAAAACUUAUUAACCCCCACGCGAGAAUGUAACCAAUUUUUGAACUUUAAGAAAAAAAAUUAAGUAUCCAUAAUCUGAAACACAAGCUCGACUAGAUCCACUGUUGCUUCUAAACAAAUUUUCCAAAACCUGCUAUUUUUAGAAAGUUUUCAUUUUUUAGGAAAAUAUUGUAGAUUUGGGAUUGUGAUUUAGAAAUUAGGAUAACAAGAUUUUUUGUUGAUAAAUGGGUAUACUUUUAGGAAUUUUGAUCAAUAGGUUAUAUUUUAAAAAUAAACUUUUAAAAACUUCUAUAUUUGGAAAGUUAUCAUUUUGUAGAUAAAUAUUGUAGAUUUGAGAUUGUGAUUUAGAAAUUAGGAUAACAAGAGUUUUUGUUGAUAGACGAGUAUGCUUUUAGAAUUUUUGAUCAAUUGGUUAUUAUUUAUAAACAAAUUUUCCAAAACCUGCUAUUUUUAGAAAAUUUUCAUUUUUUAGGAAAAUAUUGGAGAUUUGGGAUUGUGAUUUAGAAAUUAGGAUAACAAGAUUUUUUGUUGAUAAAUGGGUAUACUUUUAGAAAUUUUGAUCAAUAGGUUAUAUUUUAAAAAUAAACUUUAAAAAACUGCUAUAUUUGGAAAGUUAACAUUUUGUAGAUAAAAAUUGUAGAUUUGAGAUUGUGAUUAAGAAUUUAGGAUAACAAGAGUUUUUGUUGAUAGAUUGGUAUGCUUUUAAAAUUUUCGAUCAAUAUGUUAUAUCUUGAAGAUAUAUUAUCUAAAACCAAUUAUGUUAGGAAAGUUAUCAUUUUUGUAAAAAAAUAUUGUAAAUCUGAGAUUGUGAUUUAAAAAUUAGGAUAACAAGAUUUUUUGUUGAUAGAUGAGUAUGCUUUUAGAAUUUUCGAUCAAUUGGUUAUAAUUUCUAAAUAAAUUUUUCAAAACCUGAUAUUUUUAUAAAGUUUUCAUUUUGUAGGAAAAUAUUGUAGAUUUGGGAUUGAGAUUUAGAAAUUAGGAUAACAAGAUUUUUUGUUGAUAGAUGAGUAUGCUUUUAGAAUUUUCGAUCAAUUGGUUAUAAUUUCUAAAUAAAUUUUUCAAAACCUGAUAUUUUUAUAAAGUUUUCAUUUUGUAGGAAAAUAUUGUAGAUUUGGGAUUGAGAUUUAGAAAUUAGGAUAACAAGAUUUUUUGUUGAUAGAUGAGUAUGCUUUUAGAAUUUUCGAUCAAUUGGUUAUAAUUUCUUAAUAAAUUUUCCAAAACCUGUUAUUUUUAGAAAAUUUUCAUUUUGUAGAAAAAUAUUGUAGAUUUGGGAUUGAGAUUUGGAUAUUAGGAUAACAAGAGUUUUUGUCGCUAUAUUGGCAUGCUUUUAGAAUUUUUGAGCAAUAGGUUAUAUUUUUAAAAUAAACAUUUAAAAACUGAAAAAUAAACUUUUUAAAACUGCUAUAUUUGGAAAGUUAUCAUUUUGUAGAUAAAUAUUGUAGAUUUGAGAUUGUGAUUUAGAAAUUAGGGUAACAAGAGUUUUUGUUGAUAGAUGGGUAUGCUUUUAGAAUUUUUGAUCAAUUGGUUAUAAUUUAUAAAUAAAUUUUCCAAAACCUGCUAUUUUUAGAAAGUUUUCAUUUUUUAGGAAAAUAUUGUAGAUUUGGGAUUGUGAUUUAGAAAUUAGGAUAACAAGAUUUUUUGUUGAUAAAUGGGUAUACUUUUAGGAAUUUUGAUCAAUAGGUUAUAUUUUAAAAAUAAACUUUUAAAAACUUCUAUAUUUGGAAAGUUAUCAUUUUGUAGAUAAAUAUUGUAGAUUUGAGAUUGUGAUUUAGAAAUUAGGAUAACAAAAGUUUUUGUUGAUUGAUGGGUAUGCUUUUAGAAGUUUUGAUCAAUAGGUUAUAUUUUUAAAAUAAACUUUUAUAAACUGAUAUAUUUGGAAAGUUAUCAUUUUGUAGAUAAAUAUUGUAGAUUUGAGAUUGUGAUUUAGAAAUUAGGAUAACAAAAGUUUUUGUUGAUUGAUGGGUAUGCUUUUAGAAGUUUUGAUCAAUAGGUUAUAUUUUUAAAAUAAACUUUUAUAAACUGAUAUAUUUGGAAAGUUAUCAUUUUGUAGAUAAAUAUUGUAGAUUUGAGAUUGUGAUUUAGAAAUUAGGAUAACAAAAGUUUUUGUUGAUUGAUGGGUAUGCUUUUAGAAGUUUUGAUCAAUAGGUUAUAUUUUUAAAAUAAACUUUUAUAAACUGAUAUAUUUGGAAAGUUAUCAUUUUGUAGAUAAAUAUUGUAGAUUUGAGAUUGUGAUUUAGAAAUUAGGAUAACAAAAGUUUUUGUUGAUUGAUGGGUAUGCUUUUAGAAGUUUUGAUCAAUAGGUUAUAUUUUUAAAAUAAACUUUUAUAAACUGAUAUAUUUGGAAAGUUAUCAUUUUGUAGAUAAAUAUUGUAGAUUUGAGAUUGUGAUUUAGAAAUUAGGAUAACAAAAGUUUUUGUUGAUUGAUGGGUAUGCUUUUAGAAGUUUUGAUCAAUAGGUUAUAUUUUUAAAAUAAACUUUUAUAAACUGAUAUAUUUGGAAAGUUAUCAUUUUGUAGAUAAAUAUUGUAGAUUUGAGAUUGUGAUUUAGAAAUUAGGAUAACAAAAGUUUUUGUUGAUUGAUGGGUAUGCUUUUAGAAGUUUUGAUCAAUAGGUUAUAUUUUUAAAAUAAACUUUUAUAAACUGAUAUAUUUGGAAAGUUAUCAUUUUGUAGAUAAAUAUUGUAGAUUUGAGAUUGUGAUUUAGAAAUUAGGAUAACAAAAGUUUUUGUUGAUUGAUGGGUAUGCUUUUAGAAGUUUUGAUCAAUAGGUUAUAUUUUUAAAAUAAACUUUUAUAAACUGAUAUAUUUGGAAAGUUAUCAUUUUGUAGAUAAAUAUUGUAGAUUUGAGAUUGUGAUUUAGAAAUUAGGAUAACAAAAGUUUUUGUUGAUUGAUGGGUAUGCUUUUAGAAGUUUUGAUCAAUAGGUUAUAUUUUUAAAAUAAACUUUUAUAAACUGAUAUAUUUGGAAAGUUAUCAUUUUGUAGAUAAAUAUUGUAGAUUUGAGAUUGUGAUUUAGAAAUUAGGAUAACAAGAGUUUUAGUAAAUAAAUGGAUAUGCUUUUUGAAUUUUUGAUCAAUAUUGUGAUUUAGAAAUUAAGAUAUGAAGAGUUUUUGUUGAUAGACGGGUAUACUUUUAGAAUUUUCUAUCAAUUGGUUAUAAUUUUAAAUAAAUGGGUAUGCUUUUCAAUUUUGGAUCAAUAUUGUGAUUUAGAAAUUAAGAUAUGAAGAGUUUUUAUUGAUAGAUGAGUAUGCUUUUAGAAUUUUUGAUCAAUUGGUUUUAACUUUUAAAUAAAUUUUCCAAAACCUGCUAUUUUUUAGAAAUUUUUCAUAUAUUGUAGAUUUGGGAUUGAGAUUUUGAAAUUAGGAUAACAAGAGUUUUUGUUGAUAUAUGAGCAUGCUUUUAGAAGUUUUGAUCAAUAGGUUAUAUUUUUAAAAUAAACUUUUAAAACUGCUAUAUUUUGAAAGUUAUCUUUUUGUAGAUAAAUAUUGUAGAUUUGAGAUUGUGAUUUAGAAAUUAGGAUAACAAGAGUUUUUGUAGAUAGAUGGACAUGCUUUUAGAAUUUUUGAUCAAUAGGUUAGAAUUUUUAAAUAAAUUUUCCAAAACCUGGUAUUUUUAAAAAGUUAUAAUUUUGUUGAUAAAUAUUGUAGAUUUGAGAUUCAAAAAUUAACAUAUGAAGAGUUUUUAGAAAGUUAUCAUUUUUGUUGAUAAAUGGGUAUGCUUUUAGAAUUUUUGAUCAAUUGGUCAUAAUUUUUAAAUAAAUUUUCCAAAACCUGCUAUUUUUAGAAAGUUUUCAUUUUUUAGGAAAAUAUUGUAGAUUUGGGAUUAUGAUUUAGAAAUUAGGAUAACAAGAUUUUUUGCUGAUAAGUGGGCAUGGUUUAGAAUUUUUGAUCAAUAGGUUAUAUUUUUAAAAUAAAAUUUUAAAACCUGCUAUUUUUGGAAAGUUAUCAAUUUGUUGAUAAAUAUUGUAGAUUUGGGAUAAUGAUUUAGAAAUGAUAACAAUAGUUUAUGUUGAUAGAAGGGUAUGCUUUUAGAAUUUUUGAUCAAUAGGCUAUAUUUUUAAAAUAAAAUUUUUAAAACUGCUAUAUUUGGAAAGUUAUCAUUUUGUAGAUAAAUAUUGCAGAUAUUAGAUUGUGGUUAAGAAAUUAGGAUAAUAAGAGUUUUUGUUGAUAGAUGGGUAUGC